GAUGAACGCUGGCGGCGUGCCUAAUACAUGCAAGUCGAGCGAACGGACGAGAAGCUUGCUUUUCUGAUGUUAGCGGCGGACGGGUGAGUAACACGUGUAUAACCUACCUAUAAGACUGGGAUAACUUCGGGAAACCGGAGCUAAUACCGGAUAAUAUUUUGAACCGCAUGGUUCAAAAGUGAAAGACGGUCUUGCUGUCACUUAUAGAUGGAUCCGCGCUGCAUUAGCUAGUUGGUAAGGUAACGGCUUACCAAGGCAACGAUGCAUAGCCGACCUGAGAGAGUGAUCGGCCACACUGGAACUGAGACACGGUCCAGACUCCUACGGGAGGCAGCAGUAGGGAAUCUUCCGCAAUGGGCGAAAGCCUGACGGAGCAACGCCGCGUGAGUGAUGAAGGUCUUCGGAUCGUAAAACUCUGUUAUUAGGGAAGAACAUAUGUGUAAGUAACUGUGCACAUCUUGACGGUACCUAAUCAGAAAGCCACGGCUAACUACGUG
rnacentral:rRNA from 1 species